CCUUGUCCCCAUCUUCUCAAGAUAAUAUCCCUUUCUUCUUCAUCCACAGACCAUGUCGCCAAAUCAUGCUCUUUACUUUCAGCACCAUCAACAGUUCAAUUUUAACAUUAUUUCUUUCUCAUAAUCAAAUUCAACGAAAAUUCAAGAACCCUAGAUUUAAAAUCCAUUUUGUUUAUCAAUAACUAGAAAUCAAAGUUAGAAAUCGAAGACGAAUCUUGCUCUCAUAUCAAAGAUCGAAAAAUCAAAAAACAUGUAUCGGUAGGAAUCUAAAGCAAAAUUUGUAACCCUAUAUUAGUUUUCUGCUCCUGAAAACAUCAGGAGAUCAAGAAGUUAAAGGGGAAGAAAAAAUAGCUGCAGAUUACAGCGUAACUGAUGGGGAACCCUUGAGCUUAGUGCUACUAGUCGCUACGAGGUUCAGUUAGACGUAUGAUGAUCGGGGCAUAGUAUUUUCUAGCCUAUCCCUGAUUACGCAUUUGCGGAAAAUUGUUGUUUGAAAGGAGUGGUGAAUGGCAUUCUUCGGUUAGUGGAUCUACAAAAGAAAGAACAAUGGAUUUAGUGCAUCUAGAAACGCUACAGUGUUGUAGUUCUGAUUGCUAAACUUGCAUCUAUCAGAAAUUAUACAAGCUUAGCACUAAAAAAAAAGGUUACCCCAGGACAAACUGCAUAUAUAUCAACAUGGAGACUUAUAGCCCAAUGAGCAGAGGAUUUGAUGUUCAUGUUCCCCAAGAAUUGCAGGAUUAUAAGGCACAAGUCAAAGUUGUUACAUCGAUAAAGAACUGAAGUCAAGCCAAGGGCUGGUAUCCCAAUGCUUUCCAAUUUCUCGCAACCUGGUUCCAAUAGGGAUCACUUAGCUGGUGCUAUCCUGGCACCCCAGAACUGGACAAUUUUGUUUACCAAGUUCCUGGCAUGACAGCUCCAGUGGGUGGGUCAAAUCCAGCAGAGGAUUUGAUGUUCAUAUAUACAUACGUCUGAGCUUCUAAUGAGUGAUUACUCAAAGAAUUAUAAUGCAAAGCAUAUUAUGUGGAAUGCACCACAAAGGGGUAAAUCAUUGUUGAAGAAUAACUACAACUACAGCAGUCAAAGCUUGGUGCAAGACAAGCUUCAUGGUGGUUAGCUGCAAAGUGGAACUUCACACCAUUAUCCAAUAGCAUAAGUCUCUUGGGUACCUUCAAAAAUAUGUUGUUAUUUAAAUGAACGAACCAAAUCAAGAAUUGUUUUUAAAGAAAAAACCAAAGCCAAAUAAAGAAAAAAAGGGGGUAAGAUGUUCAGCAAUCUUUGAAAGAAAGAGAUGAGUAUGUUGCCAUGAAUCUUGCUACCUUUAAAAGUUCCCAGGAGGCUCGCAGAAAAGCUCACUCCAUGUUAGAAGGAAGAAGCACUGUUUGAGAAAGGAGCGAGGAGAGAGGAACCAGUCCUAUAUAAAGAGCUGGUUUAUUUGAGAUUAGAUGAUCUAAUUAUCUCCUUAAUUGAUUUACAGCAAAUUUGAUAACCAAUUUAUUCGUCGUAUGAUAAGAUCUUCAUUCAAGUUCCAAAAAAAAAAAAAUGUAAAUACAAAGCUCAUAGUUUCCUACCAUAGAAAAGCAUAUG